UGGGGAAUAUUGGAUAAUGGGGGCAACCCUGAUCCAGCCAUGCCGCGUGCGUGAAGAAGGCCUUAGGGUUGUAAAGCGCUUUCACUGGUGAAGAUGAUGACGGUAGCCAGAGAAGAAGCCCCGGCUAACUCCGUGCCAGCAGCCGCGGUAAUACAGAGGGGGCAAGCGUUGUCCGGACUUACUGGGCGUAAAGCGCACGCAGGUGGUAGCGCAAGUGGGGUGUGAAAGCCGCCAGCUUAACUGGCGGAGGCCAUCCCAAACUGCGUCACUUGGGGCCUGUAGAGGUAUGUGGAAUUGCCGGUGUAGUGGUGAAAUGCGUAGAGAUCGGCAGGAACACCCAGGGGGAAACCAGCAUACUGGACAGGUCCUGACACUCAGGUGCGAUAGCGUGGGGAGCGAACCGGAUUAGAUACCCGGGUAGUCC
rnacentral:rRNA from 1 species